AUUGAACGCUGGCGGCAGGCCUAACACAUGCAAGUCGAACGAGUGGCGGACGGGUGAGUAAUGUCUGGGAAACUGCCCGAUGGAGGGGGAUAACUACUGGAAACGGUUUCUAAUACCGCAUACCAUCGGCUUUUCCCCGGUGGGAUUAGCUUGUAGGUGAGGUAACGGCUCACCUAGGCGACGAUCCCUAGCUGGUCUGAGAGGAUGACCAGCCACACUGGAACUGAGACACGGUCCAGACGCCUACGGGAGGGAGCAGUGGGGAAUAUUGGACAAUGGGCGAAAGCCUGAUCCAGCCAUGCCGCGUGUGUGAAGAAGGUCUUCGGAUUGUAAAGCACUUUAAGUUGGGAGGCGUUACCAACAGAAUAAGCACCGGCUAACUUCGUGCCAGCAGCCGCGGUAAUAC
rnacentral:rRNA from 1 species